CGGAGGAAAAGAAACCAACAGGGAUUGCCCCAGUAACGGCGAGUGAAGCGGCAACAGCUCAAAUUUGAAAUCUGGCCCCAGGCCCGAGUUGUAAUUUGCAGAGGAUGCUUUUGGCGCGGUGCCUUCCGAGUUCCCUGGAACGGGACGCCAUAGAGGGUGAGAGCCCCGUACGGUUGGACACCAAGCCUUUGUAAAGCUCCUUCGACGAGUCGAGUAGUUUGGGAAUGCUGCUCAAAAUGGGAGGUAUAUUUCUUCUAAAGCUAAAUAUUGGCCAGAGACCGAUAGCGCACAAGUAGAGUGAUCGAAAGAUGAAAAGCACUUUGAAAAGAGGGUUAAAUAGUACGUGAAAUUGCUGAAAGGGAAGCGCUUAUGACCAGACUUGGGUUCGGUGAAUCAUCCGGCGUUCUCGCCGGUGCACUUUGCCGUCCCAGGCCAGCAUCAGUUCGCGCCGGGGGAUAAAGGUUUCGGGAACGUGGCUCCCUCGGGAGUGUUAUAGCCCGUUGCGUAAUACCCUGGCGUGGACUGAGGUCCGCGCUCUGCAAGGAUGCUGGCGUAAUG
rnacentral:rRNA from 1 species